GAUGAACGCUGGCGGGAGGCCUAACACAUGCAAGCCGAGCGGUAUUGCUCCUUCGGACGUGCGAGAGCGGCUUACGGGUGCGUAACACGUGUGCAACCUGCCCUUAUCUGGGGUAUAGCCUUUCGAAAGGAAGAUUAAUCCGCCAUAAUAGACUGAACGGCAUCGUUUAAUAUUGAAAGCUCCGGCGGCUAGAGAUGGGCACGCGCAAGAUUAGCUAGUUGGUGAGGUAACGGCUCACCAAGGCGAUGAACUUUAGGGGGCCGGAGAGGGGGCUCCCCCAGACGUGUACUGAGACACGGACCACACUGAUACGGGAGGGAGCAGUGAGGAAGGUAGGGGAAGGGAUGCAAGCGUAAACCAGCCAUGCCGGGUGAAGGGCGUCUGCGCUAGGGAUUGUAGACUUCUUUUGUAUAAGGAUAAACCUACCCUCGGGAGGGUAGCUGACGGUACUUGACGAAUAAGCACCGGCUAACUACGUG
rnacentral:rRNA from 1 species